rnacentral:lncRNA from 1 species
GUUCUUUCUUAGCCUGUAGUCUUAGCAUUUUAUCUCUAAUGUGGCGUGGAUGGAUUCUUUUUUUUUUCUCUCUUUUUUUUUUAUUACAUAUUUUCCUCAAUUACAUUUCCAAUGCUAUCCCAAAAGUCCUCCAUACCCUCCCCACCACUUCCCUACCCACCCAUUCCCAUUUUUUUGGCCCUGGCGUUCCCCUGUACUGGGGCAUAUAAAGUUUGUGUGUCCAAUGGGCCUCUCUUUCCAGUGAUGGCUGACUAGGCCAUCUUUUGAUACAUAUGUGGAUUCUUUUUGGUCAUGCCUGUUGAGGCCUUCUAGUUUCUUCCAUGCCUUGGUAUCCAUAUAUUUUCCUACAUUUGGAAUUCCUUUUGGCAGUAAUUUCCUUUACAGUGUUUUCUGUGCUUUUGGUUUGCUGUUUAGUUCCUUCUUCACCAUGGAUGUUUAGGCUUGCUCUUCUGAUCAUGCCUGAGAGUUCUUGAAAGUUCUGGUCAUACUUAAGUAUUUUGUUUUUCUUUAUUGAUGUCUGAAGUUUUCUCAACCUUAUCUCAAUGCCUGGUGUUCUCUGUCCUGUCACUGUAGUUCGUCUGUCCUGUGGUUCAGUCUCUGUCCUGUCGCUGUAGUCUGUCUGUCACUGUAGUUUGUCUUGUUACUGUAGUCUGUCUGUCCUGUGGUUCAGUCUCUGUGCUAUCGCUGUAGUCUGUCUGCUCUGUGAUCCAGUCUCUGUCCUGUGGUCUGGUGUGUUCAGUGCCAGGUGCUCUCUGUCCUGUCUAGUCUCUUGGUGGCACGUUCCACUAAGUUGUUUGAUUUAUUGAGUUUUUUGUCCCCCGAGUUUGUUUGCUUCUUUCCUGACUUUUGUUUCUUUGUUGAAUUCUUCAUUCAUGUUGCUGAUUUGUCAGGCUCCAGGCUAAUGGUGUCCCUUCAUCUAAUGCUGGCUUUAACCCUUUACUGAGGUCAUUGGUCAUUGUAAAGACUUUCCCAUGAGUUAUUUGGCAUUUCAUCCAUUCAGAUACUUGGAUUCAUUUUUUAAGGAAUUAUGGACUUCUAGAGAACUCAUUCUGUCUUGUUUCAUAACAUCCCUCAUGGAUUUCUGUGCUGUGGUUUGUGUAUUUGUUGAGAUUUUUUUUUUCUCACCACUCUUACUUUGUGGAAGUCUUCUUAGUAGAUAGCCUUCUGGCUUCAUGAUCCCCAGGAAAAGACAUUUUUUUUUUAAACAUUAUAAUCUCUAAAUCACAGUGUAGAGUUUGAAGUGAAAAGCUAACAUAGUAAAAUCCUUAUUAGAAUGUUCAGUUCCAGCUGAGUGUGGUAGCAUGCUUGGACUCUGGGCACUCAGAAGGCCAUGGCAAGAGAAUGGCUGCAAAGUUGGAAGCUACCUAGGGCGACCUAGCAAGAUAGCAAGGCGUUGUUAAAUAACACAAGACAAAACAAAUGAAACCCCUCAAACAAAUGGAUAGAAAACUUUAGAACUUCAUUUCUAAUAGCAAUAAACAUAAGUAUUAAAAACCAUUGAAUUAAUAAUAAAAUGUUAACCUGAAAAAAAAUUAAAAAAGAAAUCAAACAUAUUUAGUUAUAUAAAAAUGUAAAAGAUAUUAAUUCUGAAUACAAAUUUGUGUUUUUAUUUACUUGUUAUUAGAACAUAGCACAUGUUUAUGCUAUUUGGAUCCAUUAAGUAUUAAUGAGAAUAAUUUAUUCCUGAAGUAAAAUAAUUUUAACAUCUAAGUCCUCGUAAGCUCUGUAAGAAAAUAAACCUCAAAGCAUUUUACAUUAUAAAAUACAUUUGGACAAAAUAUAUUAAAUCAGUAGAGUUGAGUGUAAGUAGUUCAGAAGUAGAGGGAUGGACGUCAGCGGUGUGUGUGGGGCUCUCCCAGUACCUUAAGCAAACGAUGCUUGGCUCUGUUUAAAUGAGGUUGUAACACUUUAUUUUAAAAAAUUCUAGCAUUAGCAUUAUGCUUCACGUCAUAUCUUCUAUACUUGUUCAGACUUUUAGUAAAACAUUUUCACUUAAUGUAUCAAGAUUAGAAAAUCAGUAACAUAGCUAUUUUGUAGUUCUCCGUAGCUGGAGCACAAGAACAUUAGAAGACUUCCCAUAGGAGAGACUUACAUUUUUUUCUGCAUUAUGAAUUUAUUUCAGAUGACAUUUAAAAGAGUAAUGGUUUUGUAGCUACUUAAUUCUAAAGAAACAAAUCAAUUUUUUUUUCUGUUGGAAUUUUUUUCUAUUGUUAAAUUUGCUUUCUUGUUGUUGUUGUUUUGGAGUCUUAGAUGCCGAGGAGACGGGGACUCCCAAGUUUUUAACUGGGAGGAUUCUUACUAAGCAGAGAGGCUGUGCUGUAUCUGUGUACUUGUGUUUAGCAAAGUUCAUUUAUUUGUUGCAUGGUGCUGUGGUAGGGGAGUGUGAAUUGUUACAGAAUAACUGAAAAUAACCUGCUCUGGAACACUAGGGAAAGCUUUCUUAAGGACGAAAUGACGGGAGGAGCCGUGAAAGAUGAAUAAAAAUGUCAUAGAGACUGUGUGAGCGAGGACCCGCCCGUCAGGGAGAGCACGUGUAAGAACCUGAAAGUGGACGGCUGAGGGCAGUGAACUGCAUACUCUGCCAGCAGCGCAUGGCUGGCAUGCGGAGAGAGGCAGGCUGUAGGGAAACAGAUGUUUCCCUUACUUAACGACUCUCACUGAGAACCAUAGUUUAGUUUGCGCAGUGCUAAGCCUGUAAAAAUUUCAGUGGUAAAUUAGGAAAACGUCUAAUUGUUCGAACUUUAUUUUAGGUAACUUCCAAAUAGAGUUGCUAUUUUUGAGCUGUAAUGCCAACAACCCUUUCUUCUUGACCUCUAGUAUGAAAUGCCAUUUGUCAUCUACAUUCCAGUUUGGAAAGUUAACAUAAAUCCCAGAGGACAAAGAUGUCUGUCUCAGCAGGGGCAGGGAAGGGAAGGAGGGAGGCGGGAGGGACCAUCACCAUCCUCAUUCUCCUGAUGUUCUUUAGGGUGAUGAAGAAACAUUUGAAAAUUAUUACCGGAAGCAAAGGAAGAAGCAGGCACGCCUGGUUCUGCAGCCGCAGUCGAGUGUGGUGAGUGUGGUGUCCUGUGCCCUGCACGGUGCUUGCACCCGUGGCUGGCUUGAGUCCUGUGAGCAUGGGUCACUGCUCAUCUACAUAUAAAUAUUUAUUAAACACCUACUAUUUCUAGUCAUUGAUUUAGGGGCCAAGUGUACAAUAGUGAGCAAAACCGGGUGAGUCUUUUUUCUCAGGAGUUUACAUUCUGUUAGGAAAGACAGACACUGAGUUAAAAACAGAUAAGCAAGCAAAAUGUCAGAGAAUGAUAAUUUGUUUCUGACUAUAUGGUGAACUGUGCACUUUGAUUCUUUGUCACAUUGAACAAAACAACUAAACACAGUGGAUAGACUGUUUCUUUGUAUUUUAUUUUUAGUUAUGUGUAUGUGGCUGGGGUAGGUCUGUUCCUGUGACUAGGCGGACUAGUCACUGCCGAGGCCAGGAGAGGGCGUUAGAUCCCCUGGAACUGAAAUAACUGCUGGUUGUCUGUCUCUGUACGUUCUGGGAAUUAAGCUCAGGACCUCUGUAAGAGCAGCAAGUACCCUUAACCCCAGAGCCAGUUUUCUAGCCUCGGGAUAGACGUUUUAAAAAAAAGAAUUAGAUUUUUCUUAAAUAGACUGAGGAUCUGGCAGAAAAGUAUAAUUAAUCCACAUUUUGGCGUGGUGACGUUUACAUGACUAAAUGCGUUUGUACCGCAGAACCCCCAUCUGCUGUGAGCCACGUCAAGGCAGAAGCCCAGGUAGCUUCGAUGAGGCACCGAGUGCAGCUUUCACCCUAAAAGCAUCUAUGGGAUAGGAGAGGGAACUGAGUAACACCGGGUCACAGGUCAGGCCUGGGGCACCAAAAGCAGCUGUCCUGGAGGACUCACCUUUCUUGUCAUCUGGGGCUUCAGAGGGCUUUCAGCCCAUUGUUAAGGUGACCAGGAGAUAAAACCAUCUAAACACCUCUCAACAAUUAAUGACGAAUAAACCAGCU